rnacentral:lncRNA from 10 species
AAACCCAUAAUCAAUGUCUGGAUCCCUGAUGAACUGAGACUCACAUUGAUCUUUCAAUAUGUCCAAGCCUCCAACUGGAAUGAUUUGGUUAUCCUGCAGGAAAUGCUGGAGUCCUUCAUCCGAAUGGUAAAUGGCACUUGUGACAAAAAUCAAAGUAACUAAAAAAGAAUCUGGUUGAAACCUCAGUAACAGUUGGCCUGUCUACUGCCUCACACUAACAAGGGGGAGCUAAUAAAACCGAGGUUAGAACACACAAUGUGGAAAUGAAAACCUUAUUCUUGUCAAUGGAUGGAGGGUGGCAAGAAGACCCUCACCAGAUUCCAGCCCCUCGAUCUUUGAUUUUCC